GGUUUAAUUCGAUGCAAAGCGAAGAACCUUACUAGGGUUUGACAUGUCGCGAAUCCUCUUGAAAGAGAGGGGUGCCUUCAGGAACACGGACAUAGGUGGUGCACAGCUGUCGUCAGCUCGUGUCGUAAGGUGUUAGUUAAGUCCCACAACGAGCGUAACCCUCGUGUUUAGUUGUCACUGUUGAGUUUGGAACCUUGAGCAAACUGCUGGAUGAUAAGUUAGAGGAAGGUGAGGAUGACAUCAAGUCAUUAUGCACAAUAGAAGAGACAAAGGGUCACGAUCCCGCGAGGGUGAGCUAACUCCAAAAACCCGUCCUUAGUCUUGAUUGCUUAUAAUUAUUUUAUUAGAC
rfam:Gossypium raimondii Chr13_contig_58, whole genome shotgun sequence.